rnacentral:rRNA from 1 species
AACGCUGGCGGCGUGCCUAAUACAUGCAAGUCGAACGCUUCUUUCCUCCCGAGUGCUUGCACUCAAUUGGAAAGAGGAGUGGCGGACGGGUGAGUAACACGUGGGUAACCUACCCAUCAGAGGGGGAUAACACUUGGAAACAGGUGCUAAUACCGCAUAACAGUUUAUGCCGCAUGGCAUAAGAGUGAAAGGCGCUUUCGGGUGUCGCUGAUGGAUGGACCCGCGGUGCAUUAGCUAGUUGGUGAGGUAACGGCUCACCAAGGCCACGAUGCAUAGCCGACCUGAGAGGG